rnacentral:rRNA from 1 species
GACAGAGGGUGCAAACGUUGCUCGGAAUCACUGGGCGUAAAGGGCGUGUAGGCGGGAAUGUAAGUCGGGCGUGAAAUCCCUAGGCUCAACCUAGGAACUGCACUCGAAACUGCGUUUCUUGAGUAUCGGAGAGGAAAGCGGAAUACCUGGUGUAGAGGUGAAAUUCGUAGAUACCAGGUGGAACACCAGUGGCGAAGGCGGCUUUCUGGACGAUAACUGACGCUGAGACGCGAAAGCGUGGGGAGCAAACAGG